CCAAGCAGUUGACCCGGGUUCGA
rnacentral:piRNA from 1 species